GUUGGAGCCAUGUUGGGUUCCAGAUCAACUGAUUCCUAAUCCAGGAAUAAAGAAAUCAAUGGAUUCUUAGAAUUGGAAGAGACCUCAAAUUCCAAUCUCCUGCCCGGAGCAGGAAUCCCCUGCCAGGGUUGCGGGGCCGUGCCAGGCACACAGAAAGAAACAGGGAGCGGCAGCUGUGGCAUGAUUUGAGGAGCCGGGAGAAGCAGAUGACUCUUGACAGGCCUGCUGAGGAAUUCUCUCUUCUCAUGCCUAGCACUGUUAGGGGGUGUGUGGAGAUGAAAAAGCACAGGAUGCAGAAUCAGAAGACCCUGUUUAAGACCUGGUUUCCUCGCUCACCUGCUGUGCUGCUGUUGAAAAAGACACCUAGUUCCUCUGAAUCCCUCCUCGUAGGGAAAAUGUCUCCGUAAAUAUAAAUAAAAUAAAGUUUUCCCAUUUAAAAAUGGGGAUGAUAAUAAAUGCUUAA